ensembl:misc_RNA Metazoa_SRP Metazoan signal recognition particle RNA
GCCAGGCAUGGUGCCUGUGCCUGUAGUCCCAGCUACUUGGGAGGCUGAGGCUGGAGGAUCCUUUGAGUCCAUGAGUUCUGAGCUGUAGUGUGCUAUGCUGAUCAGGUUCAGUAUCAAUUUGGUGACCUUCCAGGAGUGGGGGACCACCAGGUUGCCUUAGAAGGGUGAACCAGCCCAGUUUGGAAAUGGAGCAGGUCAAAACUCCAGUGCUGAUCAGUAGUGGAAUCACACCUGUGAAUAGCCAUUACACUCCAGCCUGGGAAGCAUAGUGAGACCCUGUCUCUA